CGAGUACUCCCUCCGUCAUAAAAUUCUUAUCUUAAAUUUGUUUAGAUACGGAUAUAUCUGAUACAAAAGCGUGACUUGAUGUAUCUUUAUUUAGACAAAUCUAAGACAAGAAUUUUGAAAUGGAAGGAGUAUUAU
rfam:Triticum aestivum genome assembly, contig: Triticum_aestivum_CS42_TGACv1_scaffold_485903_6AS